GAUGAACGCUGGCGGCAUGCCUAAUACAUGCAAGUCGAGCGGACAGACGGUGAGCUUGUUCCUCUGACGUUAGCGGCGGACGGGAGAGUAACACGUGGAUAGGAUACCUAUUAGACUGGGAUGAUAACGGGAGACCGGAUAUAAUAAUGGCUCAUAUAAUUUACGGCAUGGAUCAGUGGUGCUAGACGGCUUUGCUGUCACUUAUAGAGGUAUCCGGGUCGCAUUAGCUAGUUGGUAAGGUAACGGCGUACCAAGGCGACGAUGCGUAGCCGACCUGAGAGGAUGAGCAGCCACACUGGAACUGAGACACGGUCCAGACUCCUACGGGAGGCAGCAGUAGGGAAUCUUCCGCAAUGGGCGAAAGCCUGACGGAGCAACGCCGCGUGAGUGAUGAAGGUCUUCGGGUUGUAAAACUCUGUUAUUGGGGAAGAAAAGAUGUGUAAGUAGCUAUGCACGUCUUGACGGUACCUAAAGAGAAAGCCACGGCUAACUACGUG
rnacentral:rRNA from 1 species